AGCGGAGGAAAAGAAACCAACAGGGAUUGCCUUAGUAGCGGCGAGUGAAGCGGCAAAAGCUCAAAUUUGAAAUCUGGCUCUUUCAGAGUCCGAGUUGUAAUUUGAAGAAGGUAUCUUUGGGUCUGGCUCUUGUCUAUGUUUCUUGGAACAGAACGUCACAGAGGGUGAGAAUCCCGUGCGAUGAGAUGAUCCAGGCCUAUGUAAAGUUCCUUCGAAGAGUCGAGUUGUUUGGGAAUGCAGCUCUAAGUGGGUGGUAAAUUCCAUCUAAAGCUAAAUAUUGGCGAGAGACCGAUAGCGAACAAGUACAGUGAUGGAAAGAUGAAAAGAACUUUGAAAAGAGAGUGAAAAAGUACGUGAAAUUGUUGAAAGGGAAGGGCUUGAGAUCAGACUUGGUAUUUUGUAUGUUACUUCUUCGGGGGUGGCCUCUACAGUUUAUCGGGCCAGCAUCAGUUUGGGCGGUAGGAGAAUUGCGUUGGAAUGUGGCACGGCUUCGGUUGUGUGUUAUAGCCUUCGUCGAUACUGCCAGCCUAGACUGAGGACUGCGGUUUAUACCUAGGAUGUG
rnacentral:rRNA from 1 species